CAUUUUUUCAAACUGUGCAUGGUAAAUAUAUAUUACAUAUGUGCACUAUAUUUAAAGACAAAUCUUAGCACAUAAAAACAGAGAAUCACAUUAAGUCUAAAAAAUAUUAAAUUUAUUGGUUUACUAGGCAGUACCCUACAUUUAUUUCCAAUUUAAACAACUUGGGGGUCAUAAAGCCCUGCUAAUCUGAAAAAUCCUCCUUGUUUUAUAGUCAUUUCCAUUCUACAAACAUCUAUGGAUCUAACAGAUGCAAUGACACAUCGUUCAUUACAUUUGCUCAUGUUUUUCCCAUCUGCUAUAUCUAUGCAUCACGGUGAUCAGCUAAAAUGCAUCUAACUCUGAUCUCCAAACUGCUUUGUUUGUUUUUUUUUGCUGAAACCAAAGGAAACCUAUCAGACAUGUCAAAUGAGAAAGCUCAGACCGCUGAUACUCCAUCAGCAGUCAAAUAAUCACUGUCAGAAUCAAACAGCCUUGCGUUGACCCCUCAAACCGACGUGCCAGUCUGUUGAGUGAAGCCAGAGCACAGUUUUGAGGGCACGGCCCACAAUCACAGUGAGAUAAAGAGCAAACAAUGUGUGCGCGAGUCACACAGGAACACACUCUCACUCGGUGACUCACACACUCGGUGAGUCACUGCCGCCCACCCGCUCACACACAAUUACACACUUCAGCUCGGAGAGUGGGAACGUGGGCCUGGGAGAAGAAACAACUCUUUCUCUGUGCGUGUGGGCGGGGUAACUUUCGUUUUGGGGAUGUUCCCUGUGGAAAACAUGUUACAUUUCUUUUUGACAAUUACUGUUGACGAUGGAUGGUCGCUAGGAAACCGCUUAAUCCGGCUAAAUAUAGAUCAGCACCUGGAUAUUGUAGUUAUAAACAUCUAAAGGUCACCGUCUAUACCAGCCGUUCUCAGGACCCAUGUUUCACACACUGAACAAGCAGAACAAAAUAUGGACAUAUUGGCCAAAUAUUUGUUGAGCAUAGUCAUAUUACCAAGCAACUGUAAUAUGAAAUUGCACUAUAAUGGUUUGAUUUCAGCUCGACUGGAUUUAUGGCCAGUGAACAUCGAGAACAGAAGAUAUAUGAAGUGUUUUCUCAUAAAUAACAUAACACGAAGAAAGAAACUCAUGCAGUUUUGGAACAACUUGAGGGAAGAAAUCUGAAGUAAAGUACCGCUGCAGACCACGUCUCCAGAACAAGCCACAUGAUUUGAGGUGUCAUUGAUGUCCAAAGCAUAAAUGAUGCAAAUACAAGCAGACAGAACAGACGAAAUGUGCCUGAUGAAGACCUGAAGGCCAAACCAUGUUUUGUACAUGUUUUAAUAAAGUUUUCUUGGAGAAGUUACAGUCAUUUUUUUUGCUUGUAUUUGCCCCAUGUUUGUCCUGCACCUGAGCCCUUAUUGUGUUUAUGGGGUGUGCACACCUUUUUUGUUUUUUUUGACAAAGCAUAAACAUUGCAGGACAAGUUACAUUCCAAAGUUUAACACCUUUUGGGUUAAAAUAAAUAAAUAAGUAUAUAUAAAUAUAUUUUUAUAAAAUAUAAAUGACAUAAUUAUAAAUUAUAUAAAUAUAAUAAUUAUUAUUAUUAUAAUAAUUAUAUAAAUAUAAUUAUUAUUAUUAUAAUAAUAUACAUGUAUAUAAUAAAUUAAAUUUUAACCCAAAAUUCUGUUAACCCUAAAUUUAUGUUUGUUCAUAAUAGGCCUGAAAACGAUCAUUGUUUUAAACGAUUAAAAAUUACACAGAUACAGUCACAAGGGACUACACUACUAUCUGUGAUGUCAUUUCCUGUUUUAUGG